rnacentral:ribozyme from 14 species
CUUCUCUUCUGUUUUUUUUUUUAAUGCUAUUGCUCCUACUUAUUAUCUACUAUGUAUAUUUUUAUUAUUAGUAGUUUACCGUUAAAGAACUGUGACGAUGGCACAAUGGAAACAAAGAAAAACAAAAGCAGCAACAUAAUUUUUUUUAGUUGUUUUAAGCAAUCUUUCAUAUGAU